CAGGGAUUAGGAGCUUUAACUGCCUGAGACCUCCCAGCAGUCAGAAAGCUCUCUGGGUCUUUUCGCCCGUGCCUUCUAUUUGUGGCGGUCAGGCUUGUCCGCUUCCACCUGGGCCCGAGGAACCGGCCCCGCCACCCCAGCAGACAGCACUCCCCCUCUGCUCUCGGCCCGGAGCUCCUGCCCUCUGCCUCCCCGACUUCGCCCUGCGCCCGCACUGCUGCCCCCCCCGCCCCCCGCGGAACCUCGCAGCCCCGGCCGCGCGCCCCGCUCCCCCAAGCGCCGCACACCGCCCCGGGCCCCGCGGGAGCUCGGGGUGCGGCGCGGCCCCUCCGCCCGGCCGCGGACACCAGCUCCAGAGCCCGGCCCGAAACCCGUCCUCCCCUGGAGAGGCCAGCCUGCGGCCUUGCGGCUGGUUAGCAAGAGCAUUUCCAGGGGCUGGGUUCGGAGUGCUCGUUUCUGAGUGCCUCCGUCCUCUCCCAGGGGCAGCGUCUGGGGAGCCCUUGCUGGCUGCUCGGGCCCCAGGCUCCGAGGUUUCUGGAACAAAACUGCAUUCGGUGUCAAACCCCUUCGCCGACCCUGGAACUAAAGUUAAGUAUGAAUUUUUUUUCCUUCUCAAGUUUUUCACGUAGAAGAGAUACCGGGCAAAUUAGACACAUGUCUGGGGAAAGAGUGAGCAGUAAACGCUGGUAUUUAAACCACACAAAAAUGCCCACGCCAGGCCCGACGCCCGGCGGCCGCGACGCGCCCGGCCCCUGCGCAGCGCCCUCUGGCGGCGGCGCGCGGGCUCGGCCGUCCCGGGGACAGAGCCGCUCCCCGACUCUGAGAGACACCGGGGCAACUUUGGAGGAAGCGAGUCGAAAGCCUCCGACGCCGAGGUCCCCUUUUUGGGGUUCCGCGGCUGGCACCGAGGCCAAGAGCCCAGGGAAGGGGCCCACAUAAAAGAAAAACUCUUGUUGCACUUUCAAUGACUGCCUGAAAUUCUACCAGUACAGCAUCUCCAUUUUACCUGCAGGCUUUGAUUCUUUUUAAAAUUCAAGCUCCUCGGGGCGCCUGGGUGGCUCAGUCGUUAAGCGUCUUGCCUUCGGCUCAGGGCAUGAUCCCGGGGUCCUGGGAUCGAGCCCCGCAUCGGGCUCCCUGCUCCGCGGGAAGCCUGCUUCUCCCUCUCCCACUCCCCCUGCUUGUGCUCCCGCUCUCGCUGUGUCUCUCUCUGUCAAAAUGAAAUAAAAAAUAAAAAUCUUUAAAAUUCAAGCUCCUCAAGGAGGGGUGACCCUUCAAAACAAGGGCAGAUGGCAGGCUGUGUCAAAAAAUUACCAACGUCAGGACCAAAAAGACAUGAUUGUACCAUAAUAUGUACAUUUUAGAUGGUGAGGACAUUUAAUAAGUAUCAUUUACUCUUCCCCUCGGUAUUGUUUGUUGCCCGGCAUCCGUUUGUACUCUGAACAGGGGUGUUAUUUUAGGCCAACCCUCUCGCAGUGGCCGGUCCCUCCAGAUCAGUUGGCUCCAGCUUUUCCUGUCCCUGGUACAUCCUCAACAUUUCUCCCCUCUGUCCACUCUUCGCUCUCGCGCGGCUGCUUGAGUUUAGGCUCGGAGAGCUUACUGUCUGGAUGCCUGCUACCCCAGAGGGAGCACAGGACCCCAGGGAGAGUGGACGGGGCUCUCUCAGGUCCUCCCUCUGCCCACACGCAACACAGCAUCUGCGAAGAGGCAGCCACCUCUCACUGCUCCGGGACUGCCUUCCCAAAGGCGGCCGAGUACUCCUGCUUUCAGCUUCCUCACUGACCAUCUGUGAUUUCUUUCCAGAAAAGUACUGCCAUUCCUUCACCUGGUGGAAGCCAGAAGAGGAGAGGGCGCUGGGUCCUGAGGGUCCCAGGCCGGUUCUCCCCUGUCAUUUUCCUCUGCAUCUCUUUCCCCUGCCUGAAGGAUUUCUACGUAUCCAUCCUGCCUGGUGGGAAUUCCUCUAACCUCGUAUCUUCCUUCUCCUCGAGAACAGCUGCCUCAAAGCUCCGCCACAGCCGUUCCCAUCCCUCCUCUUGGUCCUCCCUUCCCGCCUUCCAGAGUGAGGAUGCAUCCUUUGACUCUGCUCAGCAAACCUAGGAUGGGGACAAGGGACGCGUGCAGUUGAGGAAGUAAGGGACGAAAACACAGUCGCUACCCUCAAGGAACUUCUGAUUUCGUGGGGAGAUACGGACAGGACUUUCUUCCACGGAGGUACCCCCCCUCCCCCUGGCGUGCUAUUGCUGUAAACAGGACUCCGGUGGUCUGCUGUCAAAUCUCAGAACUCCUCAAAGCUGUAAGACAGGCAAAUGCACAAAGAAGGAUCUGGGACCUACACUCGAUGUCCACCCUCUGGCCACGUCUGAUCCGCGAAGCCUCUCCGCUGUAGGCUGGCUGGAGCCCUGGUGAAAGGUGGCUUCUCUUCCAUCUAGGCAGCUAUGACGAGAGGUGUUCGUGUGAACAUAUGUCUUCAGUGCUCUCGGGUAUGAACGUCGGAGUGGAAGUGCUGGGUCAGAUGGAGCUUGCUGUCCGCUGGGCGUGUAAGAGAAGCUUCGGUGGAAAGCGGGAGCUAAUUCAAAUCGGAGCCAAGCGGGGCAUACGGAUGGGUGCGGUGGGCCCGGAUGGGACAACCGGAGCGCCAGCGACUUGGGCAGAACAGGACGUGCACCGUGACCCUCAGAAGGUAGCAGCUGCCCUGAGAAUCCAAGCCCACCGUUGCCACACUGCCCAUUUGUUCCAAAAGAGUAAGGAAUCUGGAUUUUUGUGUGAAAUGCCCCCAACAAAACACAUCUGUGGACCGGCUCAGCCCAAGGUGGCCGCUUGGGGCGCUGGUGCUGCUUUGGCCCUCUCCCUGCUAAUCUCGUGCCCAAAGAGGGGCUGCCAAUAAUCGAGAGCCACGUGCUGCUUCUUUAGGAAUUAAUUAGUCAGGGUUUGGAGAGGAUGUAUACAAAGAACUUAGCUUUAUUAAGAUACUCCUUUGGCCUGAAGAAUAAAUAUUUUUAAAAUCCCAACCCUAAGUGCUUAAUCUGCUAAAAUGGGCAACAAAUAGAAUGAAUGCUGAAAAGAACUUGCUUCCUGUUUCAGAAGAGCCCCUGUGACCUCUGCAAUCUGAUUAUAGAGAAGUGGACUUUCCUGCCAGGAAAGCGACAAGAAGCCACAGAAAAACCAAGUCCCAGUUGGAGGGGAACUAGCCAGCAAGUUGCAUUGACUGCAAUUUCAUUACCUUGAAAAUGAUUCCAUCGGUUGGAGACCUAGUGACAGCUUCUGGGCCUGAUUUUUUUCUUCUGGAGCUGUUCUUUGCUCCCUGCCCUGACACUGUUCCGAUCACAAGGCCCAGGAGCCAGGCUGUAAGUGGAGCUGGAGAAGUUCUGGGAGACAACAAACGAUAUGGCAGGCAGCCCAGCAGAAGCAGCUACCUGAAAUGCCUUCUCUCCAAGUUCUGCAUCCUGCUCUGGGGACAGACCCAGGGGUGGCCUCUAUACAGGUACGACAGAUGAGAGAGAGAGAGAGUACAAAUACAGUCAGGUUUCUUUUCUUUUUUUUUUUCCACCCCCCCCCCACCUCCUCUCUAGCAAACACCAACUCGUUCUCUGUAUCUAAGAGUCUUUUUCUGGGGUGCCUGGCUGGCUCAGUCGGAAGAACAUGGGACUCUUGAGCUCAUGGUCAUGAGUUGAAGCCCCACAUUGGUGUAGAGAUUACUGAAAUAAAUUAAUAAAUAAAUAAACAAAUAAACAAAUAAAAUUUUAAGUCUUUUUUGUCUCCUUUUUU